rnacentral:rRNA from 1 species
GACGAACGCUGGCGGCGUGCCUAAUACAUGCAAGUCGAGCGGACCGAACAGGAGCUUGCUCUUGUUCGGUUAGCGGCGGACGGGUGAGUAACACGUGGGUAACCUGCCCGUAAGACCGGGAUAACUCCGGGAAACCGGAGCUAAUACCGUAUAACACCGAAGACCGCAUGGUCUUUGGUUGGAAGGCGGCUUCGGCUGCCACUUACGGAUGGGCCCGCGGCGCAUUAGCUAGUUGGUGAGGUAACGGCUCACCAAGGCGACGAUGCGUAGCCGGCCUGCGGGGGUGCCCGGCCACACUGGGACUGAGACACGGCCCAGCCUCCUACGGGAGGCAGCAGUAGGGAAUCUUCCGCAAUGGACGAAAGUCUGACGGAGCGACGCCGCGUGAGCGAAGAAGGUCUUCGGAUCGUAAAGCUCUGUUGUUAGGGAAGAAGAAGCGUCGUUCGAACAGGGCGGCGCGGUGACGGUACCUAACGAGAAAGCCCCGGCUAACUACGUG